rnacentral:rRNA from 1 species
UACAGAGGGUGCGAGCGUUGUUCGGAAUUACUGGGCGUAAAGCGCGCGCAGGCGGCUCUUUAAGUCUCGUGGUCAAAUGCCGGGGCUCAACCCCGAGCGUGCCGGGGAUACUGGAGGGCUGGAGACAGGUAGAGGCAAUCGGAAUUCCCAGUGUAGCGGUGAAAUGCGUAGAUAUUGGGAAGAACACCGGAGGCGAAGGCGGGUUGCUGGGCCGACACUGACGCUGAGGCGCGAAAGCCAGGGGAGCAAACGGG